UACGUAGGGUGCAAGCGUUGUCCGGAAUUAUUGGGCGUAAAGAGCUCGUAGGCGGUCUGUUGCGUCCGUUGUGAAAACUCGAGCUCAACCUCGAGACGCCGAUGGAAACCGUUUGGCUAGAGUCCGGAAGAGGACGAGUGGAAUUCCUGGUGUAGCGGUGAAAUGCGCAGAUAUCAGGAAGAACACCCGUGGCUAAGGCGGCUCUCUAGUACGGUACUGACGCUGAGACGCGAAAGCGUGGGGAGCGAACAGG
rnacentral:rRNA from 1 species